rnacentral:tRNA from 1 species
GCAGAGGUAGCUCAGCUGGAAGAGCGCCGCCCUGACAAGACGGAGGCCGCUGGUUCGAUCCCAGCCCCCUGCA